rnacentral:rRNA from 1 species
UACGAACCGUCCAAACGUUAUUCGGAAUUACUGGGCUUAAAGGGUAUGUAGGCGGCGCUGUUAGUCGGGUGUGAAAUCCCUCGGCUCAACCGAGGAAUUGCGCCCGAUACUGCAGUGCUUGAGGGAGACAGAGGUAAGCGGAACUGAUGGUGGAGCGGUGAAAUGCGUUGAUAUCAUCAGGAACACCGGUGGCGAAAGCGGCUUACUGGGUCUCUUCUGACGCUGAGAUACGAAAGCUAGGGUAGCGAAGGGGAUUAGAAACCCUCGUAGUCC